AACGGUCUAUACCUGCGGUACCUGCGGAGGGAUCAUCAAAAAAAGAGAAGGGGGUGAAAGUUUCUUCAUCCUCUCUUUUUUAUUAAUUUUUUCUUUCUUUCCCCCUUUUUCCAUUAUAUACUCCUUCCUAGGAGUUGUAAUUAGAGAAGAAGGGGGUGAAGAAAAGAAACUUGUCGACUUCUUGUCCCUUUUUAGGAGAGUUUCUUUUAAAAAGGGUAGACCCUUUUCCCUCUCCAACAU
rnacentral:misc_RNA from 1 species